rnacentral:rRNA from 1 species
CAGAGGGUGCGAACGUUGCUCGGAAUUACUGGGCGUAAAGCGCGUGUAGGCGGACGAUCAAGUCAGAUGUGAAAUCCCUGGGCUCAACCCAGGAACUGCAUUUGAAACUGGUCGCCUUGAGUGUUGGAGAGGGAAGCGGAAUUCCUGGUGUAGAGGUGAAAUUCGUAGAUAUCAGGAGGAACACCGGUGGCGAAGGCGGCUUCCUGGACAACUACUGACGCUGAGACGCGAAAGCGUGGGGAGCAAACAGGAUUAGAUACCCUGGUAGUCCACGCCGUAAACGAUGAGUGCUAGGUGUCUCGGGUAUUGACCCCUGAGGUGCCGUAGCUAACGCGUUAAGCACUCCGCCUGGGAACUACGGCCGCAAGGCUA